ACAUAUUCACCGCCAAUCCAAAUCCAUAUACGCCACCACAUAUCCGCCGCCAUCACGCCAAUCCGAGUUCACCUGCAACAUAUAUCCGCCACCUGUCCGUGUUCCACCAGAUUCAUCUCCGCCACCAGUCCGAGUUCCACCAGAUUCAUCUCCGCCACCAGUCCGAGUUCCACCAGAUUCAUCUCCGCCACCAGUCCUAGUCCGAGUCCAGUAAUUGUUGCAUUGUUCUCGAUUUCCAGAUCACGCGAUACUCUGAGUCGUGACAG
rnacentral:lncRNA from 1 species